rnacentral:misc_RNA from 1 species
AACGCACCUUGCGCCCUUUGGUAUUCCGAAGGGCAUGCCUGUUUGAGUAUCAUGAACAUCUCAACCCACCCGGCUUUUUAUGGCUGCAUGUGGGCUUGGACUUGGAGGUCAUUGCAAGCCGUCAUGGCUGGGCUCCUCUUGAAUUUAUUAGCCGGUCAGUGGAUGGCGUUGGCUUACACGGUGUGAUAAAUGUCUACUCCGUGUGUCACGACAGAAAUCUCCUGCAGAAAUGUGGGGCACUGCCAGCUUAUAGUACACCACCCCCGCCUCACGGCGGGCGGACUUACGAACCUUUGAUCUCAAAUCAGGUAGGACUACCCGCUGAACUUAA